GAGAAGCAGGAUCCCUACGGAGCAGAGAGCCAGAGUGGGGCUCAAUCUCAGGACCCUGGGAUCAUGACCUAAGUUGAAGGCAGCUGCUUAACAGACUGAGCCACACAGGUGGCCCCAGAUUGACGUUGUAAAAGUUAAAGCAGCAUGUGUAACCCCUUUCCACAACCCCUGAAAUCCCUGUCAUACAAGUUGGGACCUCUUGUCCCUUGAAGAUGCUAAGCCAUUUUCUCUCUCUCUCUCUCUCUCUCUCUCUCUCUCCUGCCUUUCCCAUGAUGCCUUUAUCUGCCUAAUCCUCCUCCACAGAAAUCCUCCCUUCCCACCUCACAUCUAAUUGUAGGUGAAAUGAAGAAGUAUAAGUUAGACUUUCCUGCAAAUAUGAGUGGGAAAAAAAAAACUUGGGAAGUUCCAAAUUAGACUUUUAGAAGUAUCCUUCUCACUCUGCUGGAUCUUGUUUAUUAUCAUAAAAAUUAAGCUAUGUCCUAUCAUUAGGGAUACAUUAUUCUUGGUGACAGGAUUUCCUGUUUAAGAACACAAAGAUUUAAAUUUUUGUCUCAAAUCUUGUGAAAUAGAGUACACAUAUAUCCUAUAUAGUAAGCAAAAUAUAAAUCAGUCUUUCUGCCCAUAAUCAAGGGUUGUCAUUAUGAUAGCAACGAUUUUUCUGAGCUAUAGCUAAAACAAGAGGCAGCAGCACAUCAUAAUGUAAAGGUACUGUUUAGACUAUGGAAUCGGUGGACCUUGUUCAAAUUCUAAAUUUUUCCUAGCCAUGUGAGCAAAAUGCCUAACCCCUCCAGUUUCAGUUUCCUCACCUAUAAAAUGGGAAUAAGAAUGUCUACUUCAGAGAAAUGUGAGAAUUCAGUGAAUUAAUGUAUGCAAAAUAUCCAGCUAGAAGGUUGGCUGGAGGUAGGUUCCUAUGGGGUGCUAGUCAAUGUUUGUUACGUUUUUAAAAGAUUUGAUUGAUUGAUUGAUUUCAGAGAAAGGGAGGGAGAGGAAGAGAGGGGGACACAGAGGGAGAAGGAGAGAGAAUCUCAAGAAGACUCUGCUGAACUCAAAGCCUGACACCGACACUGAGCGGAUCCCACGACCAUGAGAUCAUGACCUGAGCCGAAAUCAAGAGUCCAAUACUCAACUGGCUGAGCCAUCCAAGUGCCCUAAUAUUUGUUACUUUCUGAAGAGCCAUUCCCACUUUUAUUUCAGGCAAUGUAAAUGCCUCCCCCCGUCUCAGGGGACAAAUUGCUAUUGGUCUAAGCCAGUGAUUAUUAUUACAUCAUCCAUUCUACCAAUAAUGAAUCUGUGGCAGGGUUAAGGGGGAAAGUGGGUAAGCGAUCCAGUUCUGGCCAAUGAGAGAUAAGGGAAGUUGGCUGGGGAUUCUGAAACAGAUGUCCUUUCUGGAAUAAAAAAACAAAGCCUGGGGAAGUAAAAGCUUGUGCCAUUCCCUCUCUUUUUCUCUUUGCCUUCAAUGAGCUGGUGUGAAGAUGAAAUAACUGGAGCCGUGUUAGCCAUACUGUGACCAUGAAGGUACAAGAAGUCAGAAGGGUAAAUUAGAAAGAGUGCUUGCCCUUAAAGACCUUAGUAAGCCACAGCCAACCAGAAACCACACACCUCCAAUCUGCUUCUUAUACAAGAAAAUGAACUUCAUGUCUUUAAAAAUCUGGGAAGAUAAUGAUUCCAUUAACUGAAGGAGGUCCAUAGGGAAGGAGAGAAUGCUGAGUCUCAGGAAUCUGUGGGAUAUUCAAGAAGGGAAGGCAAGCAGACAGUAGGGUAUUAAAAUCUGGAGCUCAGGUGACAGAUCUAGGCUACGGAUAGAGAUUGUUGAGUAAAUGGCUUAGGCAAAUACCACACUGUCAUGGUGCAGGCCAGAAGUGCAAGGAGAGGGGUAGCCCCACAAUGAUAUCCAUGUCGUCUUACAUCAUCCCAUGGUAUCCUUUGCAGGACCAAGCUGGAUACAUUAUGAGACCGUGAAAAUUUCAGAACUGGAAAUAUAUAUUUUUACUUUUCUUCUGAAUGAAAAAGCAGACCAAGCAAAGAAACAAUAAAUUAAAUGGCUUUAAUAGUAUCCUUCUCUUUCAGUUUUAUUUUUUGUUAAACAACAACACCAUAGUAGGAUGAAGAAAGGGUUGGAAAUUAUAUUAUAUUCUAUCAAACUGUGAGAAUGGGCAGAUAUUUUUCUUUUUUUUUUUACCAAAAAAUAAUAAUAACAGGAAAAGAAAUCAAUAUGCAAAUUAAUAUAAAGGCAUUGGUUUAUCAUAAAUCUACAAAGACCUUGAGGUGUUGAGAAAUUUCCAAAAUUUUCAUCCCACUUACCACAUUGAAUUUAAGCCCCCAAAAAUUAUAUUAGAGAGUAAGUACACAAUCUUACCAAGCUGUACUCAUAAGGCCUACAUGGAGGAAAAAAAGAAAGCCUACCCAACCUCUCGUUGUAACCAUUGCCAACCAAGUAAGUCUUUGACUCGUAAUUUCUCUUUUUUAGUACAUCGAUGAAGAUUAACCGGGUUAGU